UAAGUAGGGGGCAAGCGUUAUCCGGAAUGAUUGGGCGUAAAGGGUGCGUAGGCGGCCUGCUAAGUCUGGAGUGAAAGGUACCGGCUCAACCGGUACAGGCUCUGGAAACUGGCGGGCUAGAGAGCAGGAGAGGGCGGUGGAACUCCAUGUGUAGCGGUAAAAUGCGUAGAUAUCACGAAGAACCCCGAUUGCGAAGGCAGCCUGCCGCAGCGUUACUGACGCUGAAGCUCGAAAGCGCGGGUAUCGAACAGG
rnacentral:rRNA from 1 species